rnacentral:rRNA from 1 species
UAUGUUAGCUUGCUAAUAUAUUUAGUAGCAAAUGGGUGAGUAACACGUACCUAACCUACCUUUUGGACCGGGAUAACUAUUGGAAACAGCAGCUAAUACCGGAUAAAAUAAAAAAAUGCAUGUUUUUUUAUUAAAAGGAGCCUUUAAAGCUCCACCAAAAAAUGGGGGUGCGCAACAUUAGUUAGUUGGUAGGGUAAAGGCCUACCAAGACGAUGAUGUUUAGCGGGGCCAAGAGGCUGUACCGCCACACUGGGAUUGAGAUACGGCCCAGACUCCUACGGGAGGCAGCAGUAAGGAAUAUUCCACAAUGAGCGAAAGCUUGAUGGAGCGACACAGAGUGCA